rnacentral:rRNA from 1 species
AGCGAACGUUUGCGGCGGGCUUAACACAUGCAAGUCGAACGGGCUGUUCCUUCGGGGGCAGUCAGUGGCGCACGGGUGCGUAACACGUAGGUAAUCAACCCUCUGGUUGGGGAUAACACUUCGAAAGGAGUGCUAAUACCCGGUAUGGCGCAGCGGUCUUCGGAUCGCGGCGAGAAAGACCCGCAAGGGUUGCCAGAGGACGAGCCUGCGGCCCAUCAGCUAGUUGGCGAGGUAGCGGCUCACCAAGGCGAAGACGGGUAGCUGGUCUGAGAGGGAUGAUCAGCCACACUGGAACUGAGACACCGGUCCAGACUCCGUACGGGAGGCAGCAGGU